CGACACCAUCCUGGUGUUCAGAGUGGAAUAGUGUGUACAUUCGCUGCUGAGUCAGGACAAGGAUGCUGAGGAUGUGGUGGACAAGGAUGACCUGAAUACACAGAAGCAAUUGCUGAGCACAGAAGAAGACUGUUUAAUGAAAGGCUCAGCUGAAUCAAAGUCCAGCAAUGUGCGGGGACGCGGCCUAUCCACAUCUGUAUAUUACAUCAUUUUAGCUGUCACUAACAAGGGAGAUAACUGUAGAUCUGCACCAGCACAACUGCUAUGCACAGAAGACAAAGGAGUAGUGAAAGACUCAGCCAAAUCAAAGUCCAGCGUUGUGAGGGUGACGCAGCCUUUCCAUGUCCUCGUAUUGCAACAUGAGGGACAUUUUAGCUGAAACUAACAAGGGAGAGAACUUUAGAUCUGCACCAGCACAGAGCACCAGCAUUGAUAUUGAGUUGGCCCAGCAGCCGCACGAGUCCCGCCUGCAGGAGCCCCAGUCCAGAACUACCCUUCCCCUCCCCUGACUUCUAACUCUACCCCCAUGACCUCCUGACUCAAAAAGUCAGCAUGGUUGAACAACUCCGUUCUGCAGGAAAUUCUGAGCAUGAUUCUGUUCUGAACAAACGCAAUG